rnacentral:rRNA from 1 species
CCUACGGGUGGCAGCAGUGGGGAAUAUUGGUCAAUGGAGGCAACUCUGAACCAGCAACGCCGCGUGCGCGAUGAAGGUCUUCGGAUUUUAAAGCUCUUUUAGUAGGGACGAAAACAGUGACAGUACUCGCAUAAUAACCGUCUGCUACCUACGUGCCAGCAGCCGCGGUAAUACGUAGGACGCAAGCGUUAUCCGGAAUGAGUGGGUGUAAAGGGUGCGUAGGCGGUUUGGCAAGUUGGUAGUGAAAUCCCGGGGCUCAACCACUGUGCUGCUACUAAUACUGUUUAACUUGAGUGCAGGAGGGGUAGGUGGAAUGCGCGGUGUAGCGGUGGAAUGCGUAGAGAUCAGGAAGAACACCGACUGCGAAGGCGAUUCACUGGACUAUAACUGACGCUGAGGCACGAAAGCGUGGGGAGCAAACAGGAUUAGAUACCCUAGUAGUC